AGAACGAACGCUGGCGGCAUGCCUAAUACAUGCAAGUCGAACGAAGGCUUCGGCCUUAGUGGCGCACGGGUGCGUAACGCGUGGGAAUCUGCCCCUUGGUUCGGAAUAACAGUUGGAAACGACUGCUAAUACCGGAUGAUGACGAAAGUCCAAAGAUUUAUCGCCAAGGGAUGAGCCCGCGUAGGAUUAGCUAGUUGGUGAGGUAAAGGCUCACCAAGGCGACGAUCCUUAGCUGGUCUGAGAGGAUGAUCAGCCACACUGGGACUGAGACACGGCCCAGACUCCUACGGGAGGCAGCAGUAGGGAAUAUGGACAAGUGGGCGAAAGCCUGAUCCAGCAAUGCCGCGUGAGUGAUGAAGGCUUAGGUUGUAAAGCUCUUUACCGAGAUAGAUAAUGACUAGUAGUACGGAAGAAGUAACGCCCCGGUACCUAACCGUCCGUAGCCCGAAGCCGACGGACCCGGACGGUUAAACUCCGUUAGGACGGCGGG
rnacentral:rRNA from 1 species